UACGUAGGUGGCAAGCGUUGUCCGGAUUUACUGGGCGUAAAGAGCGCGCAGGCGGUCGAUUUAGUCGCGUGUGAAAGCCCCCGGCUCAACUGGGGAGGGUCACGCGAUACUGAUCGACUCGAAGGCAGGAGAGGGUAGUGGAAUUCCCGGUGUAGCGGUGAAAUGCGCAGAUAUCAGGAGGAACACCGGUGGCGAAGGCGGGUCUCUGGGCCGAAACUGACGCUGAGGAGCGAAAGCGUGGGGAGCGAACAGG
rnacentral:rRNA from 1 species